ACGCUCGACACCUACGGGAGCAGCAGUCGGGAAUAUUGCGCAAUGGAGGAAACUCUGACGCAGUGACGCCGCGUGCAGGAAGAAGGUUUUCGGAUUGUAAACUGCUUUAGACAGGGAAGAAAGAAAUGACAGUACCUGUAGAAUAAGCUCCGGCUAACUACGUGCCAUCAGCCGCGGUAAUCUGAGCGGGCUGGCAAGGC
rnacentral:rRNA from 1 species